UCCCGGCGGUCCAAGUCGCAGCCACAAUUAUUGGGUCUAAAACAUUCGUAGCUUGUUUUGUUAGUCUCUUGUGAAAUCUGAAAUCUUAAAUUUCAGGCGUGCAAGAGAUACUGCAAAACUUGGGACUGGAAGAAGCAAAGAGUACAAUCGAGGUAGCGGUAAAAUGUGUUAAUCUCGAUUGGACUAACAACAGCGAAGGCACUUUGCUAGUACAGAUCUGACAGUGAGGAAUGAAGGCUAGGGUCGCGAAACG
rnacentral:rRNA from 1 species